AAGUCGUAACAAGGUUUCCGUAGGUGAACCUGCGGAAGGAUCAUUACAUAAUCGAAAACUGAAUAUAUAUACAGCGGUGCGAGACGCCGAGGGGUCAAAGCCGAACGCGUCGAGUCCACUUAUAUAUACUUCACUAUCAAACCCUUGUGAACCGUAAUUGACACCUUUGGCGUAGCUUAAGGUUGCCCGCGCUCCUUUCGGGGCGGCGCGCGCAGCUGUUACGUCAAACGGUACCACACAAAACAAACCAUUUGCACAAGUAUAAAGACUUAAUCUAAGAAAAUUCAAUAAUUGAAAUACAACUUUUAACAAUGGAUCUCUUGGCUCUU
rnacentral:misc_RNA from 1 species